rnacentral:rRNA from 1 species
AUUGAACGCUGGCGGCAUGCUUUACACAUGCAAGUCGAACGGUAACAGGCCUUCGGGUGCUGACGAGUGGCGAACGGGUGCGUAAUGCAUCGGAACGUACCCAGAGGUGGGGGAUAACGCAGCGAAAGCUGUGCUAAUACCGCAUGUGGUCUGAGGAUGAAAGCGGGGGACCGAGCAGCAAUGUUUGGCCUCGCGCCUUUGGAGCGGCCGAUGUCGGAUUAGCUAGUUGGUGGGGUAAAGGCCUACCAAGGCGACGAUCCGUAGCUGGUCUGAGAGGACGACCAGCCACACUGGGACUGAGACACGGCCCAGACUCCUACGGGAGGCAGCAGUGGGGAAUUUUGGACAAUGGGCGCAAGCCUGAUCCAGCAAUGCCGCGUGCGGGAAGAAGGCCUUCGGGUUGUAAACCGCUUUUGGCAGGAACGAAACGGUGUCCGCUAAUACCGGGCGCUAAUGACGGUACCUGCAGAAUAAGCACCGGCUAACUACGUG